UGGCUGAUCUUAAAGAAACAUCACAGUGACUGCUAGUUAUCACUGGGGAUACUGGUCUAAACUUCAUGAUGCACACUUUAGUUCACAACUCUUGAGGAACAGCUCAGUCUUUUCCAAAACUGGAUGUCAAGUUUACUGCAUCCUUUUUUAGUCUACUCUUGUCUCC